AUGUCCUGUCACGUUGCACAGAGAGAAGCAUGUGCAGACACCACCCACCCCGGCAGUGGGCUCCCAGGUUCUGACUCCUGGAAAGAGACCUGGUUCUAAUCGCAGCCCUGCCUCUUUCUGGCUGUGUGCUCUCAGAGGAGUUAUACAGCCUGUCUGAAAAAACUGUUGAAAGUAAACGCCCUUCACAGGAUGCAUUCAUUCCUCAGACACGCCCCCUCUUCCUGCCGCUGCAGCUUCCGUCCGGCCACUCCUAGGAUCGACCAUCCCAAGCGCCUCUCCAAACCACCUGCUACUUUCUUGACAUCACAUCCAAGAAACAAGCCCUCCUCUUGGCUUAAACCUGAAGUACUAGUGACCAGAAGGGACCUCAGAAAGGACCGCUCGUCUCUCUCACCUCCAAUGAGCUCCUCGUUUGCCCCGACCUGGGGACCGAGGGCCCCAUCUGGUGUCCCUGCUGUUGAAGAGAUGGCUUCCCAGGGAGCUGGCACCCCAUAUUGGAGAGAGGCUGAGGCAGCCACCCGGCUCUGAUGAGCCCUGCUCAGAUCCCAGGGCUGGUUCCCCUGCCAGGGUGACAGAGCCAUUCCCGCAGCUGGGGGUGGGCAGAGUCCUCCAGGGGAAGCUGGAACCAGGCCAGUCAAGGAGAGGCAGGCAAAGGAGCCCACUAGCUCUCUCUGGGUUCUCACUUUUCUUUCAAAGCCUCCAGCCCGUUGCCCGGGGUGGCGGGGUGGGGGGGCAAGGUGCACUCAGCCUGCUGGAAAAGUCCAGGCUUCCUUCUUGCCAGCUGCCUCCUUCUUGGAGAAGCCUCCGUGACUGGAAAAGCCAGGGUGCUCAGAGCCCGGUGGGAGAUCAAACCUACCAAGGCCUUUCCCUAUUUUUACAUCAAGUUGUUCGGGAACUUUUGGUUGUUGAGUUGUAAUAGUUCAUUAUAUAGUCUGGAUUUUAAUUUCUUAUCAGAUGUAUGAUCUGCAAAUAUUUUCUUCCAUGCGUUGUCUUUUCACUCUGUUGAUGGUGUCCUUUGAUGCAUAAAAGUUUUUAAUCUUGAUAAAG